rnacentral:rRNA from 1 species
GUUUGAUCCUGGCUCAGAUUGAACGCUGGCGGCAUGCCUUACACAUGCAAGUCGAACGGUAACGGGCCUUCGGGUGCCGACGAGUGGCGAACGGGUGAGUAAUGUAUCGGAACGUACCUUUCAGUGGGGGAUAACGUAGCGAAAGUUACGCUAAUACCGCAUAUUCUGUGAGCAGGAAGGCAGGGGAUCGCAAGACCUUGCGCUGAUUGAGCGGCCGAUAUCAGAUUAGCUAGUUGGUGAGGUAAAGGCUCACCAAGGCGACGAUCUGUAGCGGGUCUGAGAGGAUGAUCCGCCACACUGGAACUGAGACACGGUCCAGACUCCUACGGGAGGCAGCAGUGGGGAAUUUUGGACAAUGGGGGCAACCCUGAUCCAGCCAUGCCGCGUGAGUGAAGAAGGCCUUCGGGUUGUAAAGCUCUUUCGGCCGGGAAGAAAUCGUAUGGGUUAAUACCCUGUGCGGAUGACGGUACCGGCAUAAGAAGCACCGGCUAACUACGUGCCAGCAGUCGCGGUAAUACGUAGGGUGCGAGCGUUAAUCGGAAUUACUGGGCGUAAAGCGUGCGCAGGCGGUUUUGUAAGACAGGCGUGAAAUCCCCGGGCUCAACCUGGGAACUGCGCUUGUGACUGCUAGGCUAGAGUACGGCAGAGGGGGGUGGAAUUCCACGUGUAGCAGUGAAAUGCGUAGAGAUGUGGAGGAACACCAAUGGCGAAGGCAGCCCCCUGGGUCGAUACUGACGCUCAUGCACGAAAGCGUGGGUAGCAAACAGGAUUAGAUACCCUGGUAGUCCACGCCCUAAACGAUGUCAACUAGGUGUUGGGUGGGUAAAACCAUUUAGUACCGGAGCUAACGCGUGAAGUUGACCGCCUGGGGAGUACGGCCGCAAGGUUAAAACUCAAAGGAAUUGACGGGGACCCGCACAAGCGGUGGAUGAUGUGGAUUAAUUCGAUGCAACGCGAAAAACCUUACCUACCCUUGACAUGUCCAGGAGCCUGAAGAGAUUUGGGUGUGCCCGAAAGGGAACUGGAACACAGGUGCUGCAUGGCUGUCGUCAGCUCGUGUCGUGAGAUGUUGGGUUAAGUCCCGCAACGAGCGCAACCCUUGUCGUUAAUUGCCAUCAUUUAGUUGGGCACUUUAACGAGACUGCCGGUGACAAACCGGAGGAAGGUGGGAUGACGUCAAGUCCUCAUGGCCCUUAUGGGUAGGGCUUCACACGUCAUACAAUGGUCGGUACAAAGGGUCGCCAACCCGCGAGGGGGAGCCAAUCCCAGAAAGCCGAUCGUAGUCCGGAUCGUAGGCUGCAACUCGCCUGCGUGAAGUCGGA